rnacentral:rRNA from 1 species
CUUGAGUGCAGUUGAGGCAGGCGGAAUUCGUGGUGUAGCGGUGAAAUGCUUAGAUAUCACGAAGAACUCCGAUUGCGAAGGCAGCCUGCUAAGCUGCAACUGACAUUGAGGCUCGAAAGUGUGGGUAUCAAACAGGAUUAGAUACCCUGGUAGUCCACACGGUAAACGAUGAAUACUCGCUGUUUGCGAUAUACUGCAAGCGGCCAAGCGAAAGCGUUAAGUAUUCCACCUGGGGAGUACGCCGGCAACGGUGAAACUCAAAGGAAUUGACGGGGGCCCGCACAAGCGGAGGAACAUGUGGUUUAAUUCGAUGAUACGCGAGGAACCUUACCCGGGCUUAAAUUGCAGACGAAUUACGAGGAAACUUGUAAGCCGCAAGGCGUCUGUGAAGGUGCUGCAUGGUUGUCGUCAGCUCGUGCCGUGAGGUGUCGGCUUAAGUGCCAUAACGAGCGCAACCCUUGUUGUCAGUUACUAACAGGUUACGCUGAGGACUCUGACAAGACUGCCAUCGUAAGAUGUGAGGAAGGUGGGGAUGACGUCAAAUCAGCACGGCCCUUACGUCCGGGGCUACACACGUGUUACAAUGGGAGGUACAGAAGGCAGCUACCCGGCGACGGGAUGCCAAUCCCCAAAACCUCUCUCAGUUCGGACUGGAGUCUGCAACCCGACUCCACGAAGCUGGAUUCGCUAGUAAUCGCGCAUCAGCCACGGCGCGGUGAAUACGUUCCCGGGCCUUGUACACACCGCCCGUCAAGCCAUGAAAGCCGGGGGUACCUGAAGUGCGUAACCGCAAGGAGCGCCCUAGGGUAAAACCGGUAAUUGGGGCUAAGUCGUAACAAGGUAGCCGUACCGGAAGGUGCGGCUG